AGUGAGGAAUUUUGCGCAAUGGGGGAAACCCUGACGCAGCGACGCCGCGUGAGUGAAGAAGGCUUUCGGGUCGUAAAGCUCUGUCAAGUGGGAAAAAAGUCUGAUGAUUAAUAGUUGUCAGAUCUGAUGGUACCACUGGAGGAAGCACCGGCUAACUCCGUGCCAGCAGCCGCGGUAAUACGGAGGGUGCAAGCGUUGUUCGGAAUUACUGGGCGUAAAGGGCGUGCAGGCGGGUUGGUAAGUCAGAUGUGAAAGCCCUGGGCUCAACCCAGGAAGUGCAUUUGAAACUGCCAUCCUAGAGUAUGGGAGAGGAGAGUGGAAUUCCCAAUGUAGAGGUGAAAUUCGUAGAUAUUGGGAGGAACACCCGUGGCGAAGGCGACUCUCUGGACCAAUACCGACGCUGAGACGCGAAAGCGUGGGGAGCAAACAGGAUUAGAUACCCUGGUAGUCCACGCUGUAAACGAUGAGAACUAGGUGUAGCGGGUAUUGACCCCUGCUGUGCCGAAGUUAACGCAUUAAGUUCUCCGCCUGGGGAGUACGGCCGCAAGGCUAAAACUCAAAGGAAUUGACGGGGGCCCGCACAAGCGGUGGAGCAUGUGGUUUAAUUCGACGCAACGCGAAGAACCCUACCUGGGUUUGACAUCCUUUGACAGUCCCGGAAACGGGAUCUUUCCGACUUUGUCGGAACAGAGUGACAGGUGCUGCAUGGCUGUCGUCAGCCCGUGUCGUGAGAUGUUGGGUUAAGUCCCGCAACGAGCGUAACCCUUGUCUUUAGUUGCCAGUAUUUAGUUAGGCACUCUAAAGAGACUGCCUCGGUUAACGGGGAGGAAGGUGGGGAUGACGUCAAGUCCUCAUGGCCUUUAUACCCAGGGCUACACACGUGCUACAAUGGGCUGUACAAAGGGUAGCUAAUUCGCGAGGAAGCGCUAAUCCCAAAAAGCAGCUCUCAGUUCGGAUUGGAGUCUGCAACUCGACUCCAUGAAGGUGGAAUCGCUAGUAAUCGUGGAUCAGCACGCCACGGUGAAUACGUUCCCGGGCCUUGUACACACCGCCCGUCACACCACGAAAGUCGACUGUACCAGAAGUUGCUGGGCUAACUCCGUUUACGGAGAGGCAGGUACCUAAGGUACGGCCGGUAAUUGGGGUG
rnacentral:rRNA from 1 species